rnacentral:rRNA from 1 species
GAUGAACGCUGGCGGCGUGCUUAACACAUGCAAGUCGAACGGAAAGGCCCUGCUUGCAGGGUACUCGAGUGGCGAACGGGUGAGUAACACGUGGGUGAUCUGCCCUGUACUUUGGGAUAAGCCUGGGAAACUGGGUCUAAUACCGAAUAUGACAAUUGUUUGGAUGCGAUUGUGGAAAGCUUUUGCGGUAUGGGAUGAGCUCGCGGCCUCUCAGCGUGUUGGUGGGGUAAUGGCCUACCAAGGCGUCGACGGGUAGCCGGCCUGAGAGGGUGUACGGCCACAUUGGGCCUGAGAUACGGCCCAGACUCCUACGGGCGGCAGCAGUGGGGAAUAUUGCACAAUGGGCGCAAGCCUGAUGCAGCGACGCCGCGUGGGGGAUGACGGCCUUCGGGUUGUAAACUCCUUUCGCAACCGACGAAGCCUUUUGGUGACGGUAGGUUGAGAAGAAGCACCGGCUAACUACGUG